rnacentral:rRNA from 1 species
UGGGGAAUAUUGCACAAUGGGCGGAAGCCUGAUGCAGCGACGCCGCGUGAGGGAUGACGGCCUUCGGGUUGUAAACCUCUUUCAGCAGGGACGAAGCGCAAGUGACGGUACCUGCAGAAGAAGCGCCGGCCAACUACGUGCCAGCAGCCGCGGUAAGACGUAGGGCGCGAGCGUUGUCCGGAUUUAUUGGGCGUAAAGAGCUCGUAGGCGGCUUGUCGCGUCGUUCGUGAAAACCCGGGGCUCAACUCCGGGCUUGCGGGCGAUACGGGCAGGCUAGAGUUCGGUAGGGGAGACUGGAAUUCCUGGUGUAGCGGUGAAAUGCGCAGAUAUCAGGAGGAACACCGGUGGCGAAGGCGGGUCUCUGGGCCGAUACUGACGCUGAGGAGCGAAAGCGUGGGGAGCGAACA